rnacentral:rRNA from 1 species
CCUACGGGCGGCUGCAGUGGGGAAUUUUGGACAAUGGGCGCAAGCCUGAUCCAGCCAUUCCGCGUGAGUGAAGAAGGCCUUCGGGUUGUAAAGCUCUUUCGCAAGGGAAGAAAACUUAUCCUCUAACAUAGGAUGAGGUUGACGGUACCUUGAGAAGAAGCACCGGCUAACUACGUGCCAGCAGCCGCGGUAAUACGUAGGGAACGAGCGUGCAUCGGAAUUACUGGGCGUAAUUCGUAAGCAGGCUGUGAAAUCCCCGAGCUCAACUUGGGAACUGCGUUUGAAACUACUAGACUAGAGUACGUCAGAGGGGGGUAGAAUUCCACGUGUAGCAGUGAAAUGCGUAGAGAUGUGGAGGAAUAUCAAUGGCGAAGGCAGCCCCCUGGGAUCAUAUUGACGCUCAUGCACGAAAGCGUGGGGAGCAAACAGGAUUAGAUACCCGUGUAGUC